UCCGGAGUAGCUCAAUGGUGGAGCAGCGCCCUGUUAAGGCGAUGGUUGCCGGUUCGAGUCCGGCCUCCGGAGCCA
rnacentral:tRNA from 1 species